GUCCUAGCCGUAAACGGUUGGCACUAGGUGUAGGAGGCAUCGACCCCUCCUGUGCCGCAGCUAACGCAUUAAGUGCCCCGCCUGGGGAGUACGACCGCAAGGUUGAAACUCAAAGGAAUUGACGGGGGCCCGCACAAGCGGUGGAGCAUGUGGUUUAAUUCGAUGCAACGCGAAGAACCUUACCCAGGUUUGACAUGUGCCGGACAGGUGUGGAAACACACCCUCCUUUCGGGGCCGGCGCACAGGUGCUGCAUGGCUGUCGU
rnacentral:rRNA from 1 species